GAGGGUAUAGCUCAAGUGGUAGAGCACCUGCUUAGCAUGCACAAGGUCCUGGGUUCAAUCUCCAGUACCUCCG
rnacentral:tRNA from 1 species